GAGAGAGAGAGAGAGAGAGAGAGAGAGAGAGAGAGCGCGGAUCAGAGGCUGGAGAGCAGCGCGUCUCACAAAGAGGUAUCACCGAAGGAGAGGGACUCUACCCGGGGGCAGGAGGACAGUAAACCCGCCUGAACUCACUCCACGCACUCAUUAAUACCUGUAAAGACUUUUUGAAUCGACUCAUUAUACAGGAUUGGGAUGCGCCACUCGUGCGUAAAAAAAGCCUGGCGCCGGCUCCAGAGCGCACACCAAGCACCGGGAGGAAACCAUUCAUAACCAUCGUUAAACCUGCUUGUUGGACACUGUCAUCCUUUUUCAAUACGUUUAAAAAUCUCCAGCACCGGAGGAGAACUGAGUCAGAGAGAGGAGGAGGGGAAGG